GCGAUAGGAAUUAGGUCAAUCGGAAACUCAACCCCGAAAAUCUCUAACACACAUCCCCGGAAAACCCCCGUGGCACAAAUCACUCUAUCAUCAGCUAUGGAAACUCUCAGAGGCCGACUCAAUGCCUCACGACUAACACUGAUAUGCUGACUAAAGGCCAGAGAUACAAAAGACCGACUCGCACCCGAGUCAAAUAACACUAAAGCAGGCACAGAAUUCACAAGGAAGGUACCUACGCAUAACCUAAUAUAAGCAUAAUAUUUCAACAUCAAUAUAAAUACAUGAAAGGAAACGUACCAGCCACCACAUCGGGCGCAGCGCGGACUUCCUCCGCAGUCAGCUGGAAGGCUCUCCCUCGAGCUCUCGGUGCCUCGGUCUUCAUAGGCCGACUCUCUGUAGCUCUGAUGGCGGCAGGAGCAGAUCCCUGAGGUGCUCCGCGCAGCUGCGGACACUCAGCCUUCCGGUGUCCAGUCUGGUUGCAGUGAAAGCACACUGCAAACCCCUUGGGGCAGUCCUUGGCCAUGUGCCCCUCCUUGCCACAUUUGUAGCAAGACCCCGCUCGGCAAACUCCGUCAUGCCCCUUGCCGCACUUUCCGCAAGUGCGGCCCUUCUGGCUCCCUGGUCUGGGAUCAGCAGGCUUGGCCCGCUUGGCGGCCGGCUGCGACUAUGCCGGUCGCCGAUCCCUCCCCUGAGACUCCGCCUCCUCCCUGGCCUGAGUCUCAAGCUCGAUCUCCCUCUUCCGGGCAUUUGCCUGAAGCUCGGCAAAUGUCCGGUACGAGGAGUUCGCAGCGAACUCCCGAAUAUCCCGCCUCAAGAUGCUCAAGUAGCGGCUCAUACGUGCCUGCUCAGUGGGCACGUGCUCAGGGCAGAACAUCGCCCUCUCGUGGAACAUCCUCGUGAUUGCUGUAACAGACUCAGUACCCUGCUUGAGGGUCAGAAACUCCUGUGCUAAACGCUCCCUCUCCACCUGGGGAACGUACUCAUCUCGAAACAUGGUGGUGAACCUCUCCCAGGUCACCGCAGAAAGCUCAGCAGGCGUAUAAUGCGCCGUUGCAAACUUCCACCAGUCCUUCGCUCCCAAGCGAAGCUGGUUCAGCGCGAAUCGGACCUUCAAAUGCUCAGGAGACGAGCAAGUGAAGAAGCACCCCUCAAUAUCAGAUAUCCACCUCAUCGCUGCCACCGGAUCCUGGGUCCCAUCGAACUCUGGUGGUUUUGUGUUGCUGAAUUCCCGAAAUAGUAACGCAUCCCCACCCUGCGGUCCUGCAGCAGUCACCGCUGCAGCAGCAGCCUCAGUAAGAGCGGCAUAACGCUCGUCGAACGUCUCAAUCAGUGUGGUCUUUAUGGACCCAAACAUCUCCGGAAUCUCUGCCCUGAUGGCUGCAGCUACCUCCUCCUGGAUGAUCCGGCGGAUAUCCUCCUCACUGGUACCACUGCUCUCGGACGUGAAACGUGUCCUCACCAUGAUCUACCGCUGAAAUACGACAUACAAUAAAUUUAGAAUCCCCACGAACACACUCACACUCGUCAACUCUUUCCUCCUUGAUUCUUGGCAUUCCAAAGAUUCUUACUUGGGCUGCACCCCGCUCCGGUGCUUCCAGUAGUACGGGCCCAAUACUACUGUCCGCACCGCACCAGAAUACACUCCAAGUCCUCCUCUUCGGAUUCCAGGUCUCAAGUACUCUAUCAUGCGUAGACCACUCUCUAAUAGAUCUCUCAUAAGUCCCUCGCUGCUACCUACUCACUCUCAAGCAUCUCAUAGCAGCUCACCUCUCCCUAGGCUAAGGCAUCACAAAUCAGGCCAAUCUAGUUCUAAUAGCAAUGCCUAGCCUACUCUAGCAUGCAGAUACAUCAUAUCAAUAUUAACAUCACAUAAUGUAAGGGUAUUUUGGGAAAUCACCGUUCGGGCGCGGGCUGAUCGUACACACAUCUCUUGCUCUGCGUCUUUUCAAAAAUCUUUUAAUCUUUUGAAAAUUACAUCUCAAAUCCUCAGUUUGAGUUCAAAUACGCCCGAAGGUGUACUCGAAUCCCUCAAACCAAGGCUCUGAUACCAAAUUGUAACGCCAAGAAUUUAAAAAUAAUUUUUCGCAUUUAAUAAAGGCAAACUUCAUUUAAUAUUCAUAAAAACAUCAUUGUUUGUAAUUCAUUUCAUAACACAUAUAAAAACCCCAAGAUCACAUAAUAUAAAAAUCCCGCGUGUGUGCACUGAUCAGGCCGGCGCCUUCCCGCGAUCCUCACUAGUACCUGAAACAAAUAACACCAACACUGUAAGCAUAAAGCUUAGUGAGUUCCCCAAAAUACCACAUAACACAUAUUAGCCACUCGAGGCUAUAACUCUGUGGGUCCGUGCACCCAUACUCUGUGAACCCUCAGGUUCUAACUCUGUAAACAAGCAUAGCAUAAAUCACAUAGAAGAAUGCAGUGCAACACAUAACAUACAUAGCAUACAAAUACUCUAUCAUAUAACUCUGGUUACCUACUCAAGGUAAAGUAUAGUGAGAAGACUCACCUCGCGUGUCUCGAUAUCUCACAAUCCUGGGAAUCCCUCGUGCCCGAUUCUCCGAGCUCUAAUCCUCCUAUAACAUCAUAUGUCCCUAGUUAACACUUUAUAUCUCUAAUGUUGACUAUCCCUAAGAAGUCAACACAGGUCCACUCUGGUCAACGGUCAACGGUCAACUUUGACCGGACUCGGCGAGCGCUAGGGCGACUCGGCGAGUCUAGACGUUCUCACCAAUUCUCUAAGAUUCCCUUUCUACACGUCGAGUAUCCCCCCUGACUCGACGAGUUCCUCCUGGAAGAAUCGCGGGGCCACCCCGACUCAACUCGCCGAGUCUGAAGAACAACUCGGCGAGUCCCAGUUCGACUCAGACCACCUGUUAACCCUCUCUAACUCGCCCUGACUCACCGAUCCAACUCAUAACCCGGACAGGACCAUUCUAAGGCAAUCUUCAAGCUACUCGCCGAGUCUGUUCAUCGGACUCGGCGAGUCCAUGCCAUGCAACCGCUCAAACUGCUUUCUAAGGUCAGAUCUGCUCCGACAAUUCAUAGGUCUGGCCUUCCUAGACUGGUUCAUCACGUAAAGUCCUCAUUUCGGUGCUCAUAAUACACCCCAUGACUCAUAAUUUACGUUUUGACCUAAGGCAUAAGGAUUCCAAUCCAAAACCUCCAUUGAUUCCCGAAAAGCUCAGGCAUGGGACAUUCUGGACUUCCAAGGGUCCCAAUAUAGGGUUCCAAUCGCUUGGGGGACUAAGGAAACACUCAAUCUAGCCACAAAAGGGUUCAAUAAACCCUAAAUCCAUAUACACAUCAACAUAGAAGAAUGCAACUCGAAAAUAUUACCUGAAUAACGUUGCUCUGUGUCCCCAAUCCUCAGAAUGUGGCUUCUCCUGUUGUUCCCUUAACCAAGCCUCCUCCUCCUUGCAAAAUAACACUUCCAAGAUCAAUAAUGGUCUUCUACCUUGCUCCAGAUGCUCACAAUCGAAUUAGGGUUUCUCUCAAAGGACUAGGGUGAACAAUGACGGCCAUAAGGCCCCUUAUAUAUGUCCCAAACCUGGACGGUUAGGGUUUCGCUAAACAGCGCGGACUCGCCGAGUCCAUAUCCGGACUCGUCGAGUCCAGUCGCGAACCCGCGACCAGAUCCGCGAUCCUACUCGGCGAGUCUGAGCUCCAACUCGCCGAGUCCCCUCUUAAAACACCCAAAAUCAUAAAUAUAACGAUACCUGGAAUUCCGGGCUGUUACAACUCUCCCCCACUAGGACUAGACUUCGCCCUCGAAGUCUCACUCUGAAAAUAGCUCCGGAUGCUGCUCCCGCAUCUCACGCUCCGGCUCCCAGGUCAUUUCCGAUCCCUUCCGGUGCUGCCACUGAACUAACACCAGAGGUAUCUCCUUAUUCCUCAGAACCUUGAUCUUCUGAUCUCUGAUGGCCACUGGUCUCUCGGCAUAAUUCAGGCUCGCAUCCACCUGAAUGUCCUCUAAUGGAACCACUGCCGACUCAUCGGCUAUACACUUUCUCAAUUGCGACACAUGAAAAGUGUCGUGGAUCUGACUCAAUUCCGCUGGCAACUCCAAACGGUAGGCCACCCGGCCUACCCUCGCAAUCACACGAAAAGGCCCAAUAUACCGGGGCCCCAACUUGCCCCUCUUCCUGAAUCGAAUCACUCCUUUCCAAGGAGAGACCUUCAGGAGUACGAAGUCGCCGACCUGAAACUCAAGCUCGGACCGGCGUCUGUCUGCAUAACUUUUCUGUCGGCUCUGGGCGGUCAAUAACCUCUGUCUAACCUGCUGAAUCUGCUCUGUCGUCUGAAGCACGAUCUCUGUACUGCCCAUCACUCUCUGUCCCACCUCUCCCCAACAAAUGGGGGUCCGACAUCUCCUACCAUACAACAGCUCAAAGGGCGGCAUACCGAUGCUCGAAUGAUGGCUGUUGUUGUAGGAAAACUCCGCCAAGGGCAAAUACGCAUCCCAGCUACCCCCAAAAUCCAACACACACGCCCGAAGCAUGUCCUCGAGCGUCUGAAUCGUCCGCUCACUCUGACCGUCUGUCUGGGGAUGAUAUGCGGUACUAAAAUGCAAUCUAGUACCCAACUCCUCAUGAAAUUUCUUCCAGAACCUAGAAGUGAAACGCACAUCACGAUCUGAAACAAUCGAGAUCGGCACCCCAUGCCGAGAUACUACUUCUCUCACAUACACCUCCGCCAAUUUCUCUGCUGAAGAACUCUCACUAAUGGCAAGGAAGUGAGCGCUCUUCGUCAAUCUGUCUACAAUCACCCAAAUUGCAUCAACUCCUCUGGCAGUCCUCGGCAAUUUGGUGAUGAAAUCCAUAGUGAUCUGUUCCCACUUCCACUCGGGAACCUCCAAUGGCUGCAACUUGCCAUGCGGUCUCUGGUGCUCGGCCUUAACCCUACGGCAGGUCAAGCACCUCUCGACAAACCACGCGACGUCCCUCUUCAUGCAGGGCCACCAAUAUUCUCUCCUCAAAUCCAAAUACAUCUUUGUAGCCCCGGGAUGGAUCGAGAAUUUCGAUCGAUGUGCCUCCUCCAUCAAAGUAGUACGCGUACCGCCCACAAACGGUACCCAAAUCCGACCCUGAAAGGUCAUCAACCCUCGAACAUCAGUAACGAACUCUGAAACCAAACCAACGACCCGUUCCCUCUUCUGCAUCUCCGGUUGCAUAGCCUCAGACUGUGCCCCACGAAUGGCAUCCAGUACUGGAGCUAUCACGGUCAACCUCAAACAUACAUUUCGUAGUGGAGUGCUCUCCCCCUUACGGCUCAACGCAUCUGCUACCACAUUAGCUUUGCCCGGGUGGUACAGGAUCUCGCAAUCAUAAUCCUUGACCACAUCCAACCACCUCCUCUGACGCAUGUUUAGGUUGGGCUGGUCCAUCAAGUACUUCAAACUCUUAUGGUCCGUGUAUAUCGUGCAACGAACCCCAUACAAGUAAUGACGCCAAAUCUUGAGGGCGAACACUACCGCCCCCAGCUCUAGAUCAUGCGUGGGAUAUCUCGUCUCGUGAGGCUUCAGCUGCCUCGAUGCAUAUGCUAUUACAUGCCCUCUUUGCAUCAGAACUGCACCCAACCCCGAAAUAGAUGCAUCACAAUAAACUACAAAAUCCUCCAUCCCUUCCGGGAGAGCUAACACCGGGGCUUCGCACAAUCUCUGGCGAAGUGUCUCAAAAGAGGUCUGCUGCUCGGGUCCCCAUGAGAAUGCAACCCCCUUUCGGGUCAAUCUAGUAAGUGGCACUGCAAUUCUGGAGAAGUCCUUAAUAAAUCUCCGAUAAUACCCUGCCAAUCCAAGGAAACUCCUGAUCUCAGAGGGUGACUUCGGCACCUCCCAACUCAUCACCGCCUCAACCUUGGCCGGAUCGACCAAUAUCCCUUCCUGAUUAACAACAUGUCCUAGGAAUUGGACCUCCCGCAACCAGAAGUCACACUUGGAGAACUUUGCAUAAAGCUUCUCCGAUCUCAAAACCCCAAGGACCUCCCUCAAAUGUUCCUCAUGCUGCUCUCUAGAUCUCGAAUACACCAAAAUAUCAUCGAUAAAUACAAUCACUGACCGAUCCAACAUCGGCCUACAUACCCUGUUCAUGAGAUCCAUGAAUACAGCCGGGGCGUUGGUGAGCCCAAAAGGCAUCACCACAAACUCAUAAUGCCCAUAUCGCGUCCUGAAUGCUGUCUUCUGUACGUCCUCAUCCCGCACUUUCACUUGAUGAUAUCCCGACCUCAAGUCGAUCUUGGAAAACCAAGAUGCUCCCUGCAACUGAUCGAAUAAAUCGUCGAUCCUCGGUAAUGGGUAACGGUUCUUGACCGUCAACUUGUUCAACUCCCGGUAAUCAAUGCACAUCCGGUGUGAACCAUCUUUCUUCUUGACGAACAGAAUAGGUGCUCCCCACGGCGAGCUGCUCGGCCGAAUGAAUCCCUUCCCCAGCAACUCCUGAAGCUGCGAGGAUAACUCUUGCAUCUCUGGAGGUGCAAGACGAUAAGGCACCUUAGCGAUAGGCGCGGCCCCCGGAAUCAAAUCAAUACCAAACUCCACUUGCCUCACAGGAGGUACUCCCGGCAGCUCCUCGGGAAAGACAUCUGGAAACUCACGCACCACCGGUACCUCCUCAACUGAACUCGGUCUCUCGGAAGUCGCUCGCGUAUCCAUCACAUACGCCACAAAACCCUUACAGCCCUGCUGUAGACACUGCCUCGCUCUAGCGGCCGAACAAAAGGCUGAUCCCGAACGCGUACCCUCGCCGUACACCGAAAGAACUCCCCCACUAGGGUCUCGUAUAGUCACCAGCUGACGCUCGCAGUCGAUGACUGCGCCGAAUCGGCUCAACCAGUCCAUGCCCACAAUGACACAGACAUCACCCAUCGCGAUAGGAAUCAGGUCAAUCGGAAACUCAACCCCGAAAAUCUCUAACACACAUCCCCGGAAAACCCCCGUGGCACAAAUCACUCUAUCAUCAGCUAUGGAAACUCUCAGAGGCCGACUCAAUGCCUCACGACUAGCACUGAUAUGCUGACUAAAGGCCAGAGAUACAAAAGACCGACUCGCACCCGAGUCAAAUAACACUAAAGCAGGCACAGAAUUCACAAGGAAGGUACCUACGCAUAACCUAAUAUAAGCAUAAUAUUUCAACAUCAAUAUAAAUACAUGAAAGGAAACGUACCAGCCACCACAUCGGGCGCAGCGCGGACUUCCUCCGCAGUCAGCUGGAAGGCUCUCCCUCGAGCUCUCGGUGCCUCGGUCUUCAUAGGCCGACUCUCUGUAGCUCUGAUGGCGGCAGGAGCAGAUCCCUGAGGUGCUCCGCGCAGCUGCGGAC
rnacentral:lncRNA from 1 species